rnacentral:rRNA from 1 species
CCCGAUGGAGGGGGAUAACUACUGGAAACGGUAGCUAAUACCGCAUAACGUCGCAAGACCAAAGAGGGGGACCUUCGGGCCUCUUGCCAUCGGAUGUGCCCAGAUGGGAUUAGCUAGUAGGUGGGGUAACGGCUCACCUAGGCGACGAUCCCUAGCUGGUCUGAGAGGAUGACCAGCCACACUGGAACUGAGACACGGUUCCAUGACUCUCUACGGGAUGGCAUGCAGUGGGGAAUAUUGCACAAUGUGUGCUGCAAGCCUGAUGCAGCCAUGCCGCGUGUAUGAAGAAGGCCUUCGGGUUGUAAAGUUACUUUCAGCGAGGAGGAAGGCGUUGUGGUUAAUAACCGGCAACGAUUGACGUUACUUCGCAAGUAUAGAAGCACCGUGCUAACNUNCCGUGCCAAGCCAGCCGCUGGUUAAUACNGAGGGUGCAAGCCGUUAAUCUGGAAUUACUGGGCGUAAUAGCCGCCACCGCCAGGCNGGUCUUGUC